CUCCCAGGAGGAAUGAGCUGCGUGCCCUGUGAUACCUGCGCGCCUCUCCAUCUGCUUCGUGAGCUAUCUCUCUCCCGCCACCGUGGAUGAAAUCUUCUGCCAGUCCUCAUAACUUUUACAGUCACUCCUGAAUUACACAAGUCCUCCGGUCACUUCUUGAAGUAGUAAGACCUUGCUUCAGACAUGAAGGUGCCUGGUCCCACAUGAGAAAGCACUGACUUCAUCACAUUUCUCCUCCUGCAGUUUGUGCGGGCCUCAGGGCAUUCUGACAGAUGUGAGAUGAUACCUCACUGUGGUUUGAAUUUACAUUUUCUGACUGAUUCAUGAGGCUGAACAUUGUUUUCAUAUACCUGUUGGCCAUUUGUAUGUCUUCUUUCGAGAAAUGUCUAUUCAGUCAAUAUACUAGAGUGAUGUGACAAACAACAAUAAAGGCACGAUACUCCAUGGCAAAGUCAUCUUGGGGGAAAUGCUGCGACAAGAACUGCUGGCACGGCCUCCUUGGGGCAAAUGGGGAAAGGAUUAAAGAUGAAAAAGCUUGGACCCUGUCUUCAUUCAUUUAUGUUGCUACAAAGAAACAAUGAGGCUGGGGAAUUUACCAUGAAAAGAGGUGGAUUUCACUCACGGUUCUGUAGUGUACAAGGAGCAUGGCACCACUUCUGCUUCUGGGGAGAACCUCAAGCUGUUUCCACUCAUGGCACAAGGCAAAGGGGAUCAAGCGUGUGCAAGGAUCAUAUGGCAGAGAGAAAGCAAGAGGUCGCAGGGGAGGCGCCAGGCUGUUUAUUACCAUCAGUUCUCAUGCAAACUCAGAGUGACAAUCCACAGAAGUGAGACUGUCACCAAGCCAUUCAUGAGGGAGCUGCCCCCAAGACCCAGACACCUCCCACCAGGCCCCACCUCCAACACCGGGGAACCAAUUUCAACAUGCGACUUGGCAGAGCCAAACUACAUCCAAAUCACGACAGUCCCU
rnacentral:lncRNA from 13 species